UCUACAAUAGAUUUCUAAGCCUUAAGCUAGAAGGAAUGGACGAAUCACAAUCAAUUGUUCUCCUCACAUUCGACUGUAGUUGGUCAAUUUUGUACGGUUUAAGGCUUAAAACACCUAUUAUAGAUCUAGAUUUACU